rnacentral:ncRNA from 1 species
GACUUGAUUAGAUUGAGCCUUGGUAUGGAAACCUGCUAAGUGGUAACUUCCAAAUUCAGAGAAACCCUGGAAUUAAAAAUGGGCAAUCCUGAGCCAAAUCUUUAUGUUAAGAAAACAAAGGAUAGGUGCAGAGACUCAAUGGAAGCUGUUCUAACAAAUGGAAUUGACGUUGACUACGUUGCGUUGGUAGCUGGAAUCCCUCUAUCGAAAUUACAGAAAGGAUGACCCUAUAUGCGUAUAUAUACAUACUGACAUAUCAAACGAUUAAUCACAACUCGAAUUCGGAAUCCAUAUUAUUAACUAUAACUAUAUAUUAUAGUUAUUAUUAUAUAUAUUUUGUUUAUAUAAAAAAAAAGAUAUAUUUUUUGAUAAAUUUAUAGAUUAAUUAAGAGUUAUUAUAAAUAUAUUCCAGUCGAAGUUGAAGGAAGAAUCGAAUAUCCAGUAUUCAGUGAUCAAAUCAUUCAUUCCGGAGUCGGAUAGAUCUUUUGAAAAAAUGAUUAAUCGGACGAGAAUAAAGAGAGAGUCCUGUUCUACGUGUCAAUACCGACAGCAAUGAAAUUUAUAGUAUUAGGAAAAUCCGUCGACUUUAGAAAUCGUGA